rnacentral:tRNA from 1 species
GGAAGCGUGGGUGAGUGGUUUAAACCAGAAGUUUGCUAAAUUUCCGUAGGAUUAAUUUUCUACCAAGAGUUCGAAUCUCUUCGCUUCCGCCA